rnacentral:rRNA from 1 species
AUUGAACGCUGGCGGCAGGCUUAACACAUGCAAGUCGAGCGGAUGAAGGGAGCUUUCGCCUGGAUUCAGCGGCGGACGGGGGAGUAAUGCCUAUGAAUCUGCCUGGUUGGGGGUGAUAACGUCCGGAGACGGGUGCGAAUACCGCCGACGUGCUGAGCCUGAAAGUGGGGGGGGUUCGGACCUCACGCUAGCAGGUGGGUCUAGGUCGGGUUAGAUAGUUUGUGGGGUAAAGGCCUUCCAAGGCGACGAUCCGUAAGUGGUCUGAGAGGAUGAUAAGUCACACUGGAACUGGGACACGGUCCAGACUCCUACGGGACGGAGCAGUGGGGAAUAUUGGGCAAAGGGCGGAAGUCUGAUACAGUCAUGCCGAGUGUGUUGAGAAGGUCUUCGGAUUGUAAAGAACUUUAAGUUGGGAGGAAGGGCAGUAAGUUAAUACCUUGCUGUUUUGACGUUAACAACAGAAUAAGCACCGGCUAACUUCGUG